AAAAGAAGAGCGAUUGGGGUGUGAUUUGAUGACCCAGGAUGGAAAUGUGGGAAUGUCUUAUUUUUUUAUUUAAAAAGUUUAGAAUUUAUGGAAGUAUAUGGAAUGACACUAGAAUUAGAAGCAAAGCCAUUUUAUUCAGGAACAAAUAGGAUGUGAAAAAGCAUUUAAUUUAUAAUUGGUAUACUAUGAGACUACAUAUUAUGCCUUGUCAAUUGGUCUGGUUGAAGUUUAAAUGUUUAAUUCUAUUUUUCUUUUCUAUCUGAUAAUGCAAUAUGAUAUCAGGGUUGCCCUCUUUAGAGGGUUUCAUGUACUUUUACUUUCUCUUUUCUUUUAUAAAUUGGUAGGAUCCAAUUGUUCAGGAGUUGAUCUUUUGGUAUUUUGUAAUUUACCUUGUGACUUAGCAUUCUACAUUUUUUCUACCAAAGGCAAUUUGUCUUCUAAAUAUGUUACUGGGAGAUCAUUUUGGCUGAAAAUUCAGUAAAACAUGAAUGCUUUAUAAAAUGAUUCCUAAUUUUGUUAGCCUUCUAUCAUUUAAGCCUUAGUAACUUCAGUAAGUUUUUCCCCCGUGAAUUGUUAUCGAGCUUCGUAUUGCUUAGAAGGAUGAAUUAUGUUUCACUGAGUGCUAACUGAAUUCUGUUCUCUCAAAUCAAUUCCAUCCCUUAUAGUUCUAGUGGAUGCCCGCCUGUGAUUUACUUGUGAAAUUUAAGUCUUGUAUUGAGGACUGCUGUGAAUUAUAUAAAAAAAAAAUCUCAGAAAACAUUGGCUAGGACCAUCCUAUUGUGUUUCCUUCUCACAAACACUCAAUGAGGUCCCCAAUUCAUGUCCUAGGGAAGGACUAUUAUAAGACUGUCCUUUCUAAUAAUUUUGUUCACAAACACUCAAUGAAGUCCACAAUUCAUGUCCUAGGGAAUGACUAUAAGACUGUCCUAUCUAAUAAUUUUGUAUAAAAUUAAUCAAGAACUUUGUUUGUUUUGCUUCCAUGUGUUUGUGUUAGACUUGCAAAGAAAAUAAAAACUUUUCUUUUUUGUAAAUACUUGUAAUUUAUUUAGUCAAGCUUAGUUAGCUUUACUGUGACACUGAGACAAGUUGGUUUUGCUGAGCUGGAAUGAGCUGCAGAGAGAGAGAGGGAGAUGGCUAUUUAUCAGCUGUAUAUAAACAUUAUUUUAGCUUCUGUUUAAGAAAAUGAAGAUUAUCUUCUUCAAGCUUUUGUUCUCUGCUUUAUAGUUUUCUGUUCAUUUCAUUUUUUGUAGUUAAUUUAUUGUUCAUAUUGACUGAUAAAGUUAUGUGAAGGCUUAGCUAAUUUUAGUGAGGAUUUUUGCCACUUUUAGGAAUUCCAACAUCUAUUCCCAAGUAUUUCUACACUAUUUCUCUGAAAUUUUCUGGCCAUAUUUUUUGAAAUUCUGCAAAAUUUGCAGGCCUGGAAGAGUUCAGUUCAGACAAGAGUAAAUGUCAAGAGCAUUUUGAUGUUUACAAAGAAUGCAAGAAAAAGGAGGUAUUUUUUUGUUUUUAAAUAUUUGCAGGCCUUACACUAUUGUAUAUUGUUUUCACGUGUUUAAGGAAAGUGAAGUUUUAAAACUUCCACAAAAUUUAUACACAAAAUAGUGGUAGGAUUUUCUUACGUGGUUGCAUCACAUUUCUUGAUUGCUGUACUGUAUUCUUGUUUUUGUCAUAACAGAGGGAAGCUCGGUUGGAACGCAACAGGAGUAGGUCCUUCUUCUCAUGAGAAAAGUUUUAGACGUCUCCUUGCAUUAUAUCUUGUAAGCAAUCAUCCAUGAGCUCAUAGGGAAUGCUAAUCUUAUUUUCGUUUCUGGAUCCAUUGGAUUCCAACACAAGUUGUAGAACUUAAGUUAUAUGUUAUGACAUAAGAAGUUGUUAGAUAAUGUACUCUUUUUUGAACCAAAAAUUAUAAUAAUAACAUACUCUACAUUCACGAAAUAUUAUACACAAAGCUAUAAAUCAAGUCUUCUUACAUUUAUUAGCUCUGUAACUUUCUCAAUGUAGAACUGUUGAAGGGACCUUUAUUUAAUGUAUACAUAGGCUUCUAUUGUAUAGUUCUUCCAAUCUCCAACAGUACUGAGCUUGAAAAGGAACAAUUUGGCACCUUUUUCCAAUAAGUGGCUCGGUUUUUUUUCUUAAGCCUCUCAAAGCUGCACCUCCAUAUCACCUUGUCCACCCUCGUCAUCCUGGAAUGGUUUUCCAAUAAAUGAAGCCAACUUCUUCACCGUCAAUGUGGAAUUCGGGAGCAACGAUCUUCCUCGGAUGAGCCCACAUUGGUCCAUUGGCUGACAUAAUGCUUUAGCCCAGCAAAGGUCCACGAUUCUUAGACAAAUAAGAGGGCUUCCCCAGGUUAAACCAUGUAUUAAGGCUAAUUUUCUUCACCGUAUCUCCAUCUGCUGUGCACAAUAGCUACAUAUUUCGAGUUGGAUACAUGAACGUUGGUCCUGCACAAAUUCAAAUCCAAAAUAGCAGUAGAAGUAGCACUGUAGAUUACUCCAGAGGGUACCAAAAAAGAUGGGAAGUGAUGGCAAGAUACAGGAAAGACUCGGUAGCCGGGCAAUGCACCCUCGUCACACAAGCAAGAGUCUCAUCUGUAUUGGGCAGUUACGUACGUCAGAGUUAACCGAAGAAAUGAAACUUUAUUGAAGUUACAAUCACUUCAACAAUUCCAUCUCCUUCAAUUUUCUCUGCCUUUCGGAGUUGAAGUGGAACAAUAUAAUAUUUCUAGGGUUUCUUUCAUACGAUGGAUUUUUCUUGUCCCUCCCGAGUAGUUUGGAUUUAGAUUUAUCAAAUUAUCGCAUUUACCAUAACAAGGCCCAAGUGUCUCGAUUGUUCUGUAUUUACUUUAUUAAGAUUGGGCUGGAGCCCUGCAUGCAUGAAGCCCAACAAGAAAAUUGAGAGAGGAAUACAAGAAAACAAGAGACACAGAGGGAACAUAGACGAGCUCGUGAAUGUUAAUCUCCCACAUAGAAAACCCUAGUUUUCACCGUCUACCUCCUCAAUUCCUUACCUCUCUAUCCACUCUAUUUCUCUUUUUCAUAAUCUGCAUCUGUUUUUUCCCUUUCUUGUUCUCUCUACAUUCUUCCAUUCUACCCUAAACCCUAAUUUCCUCAAAUCUAGGGUUUACUUUGCCUUUCCCAUUUUAUAAUUUUCUGUUCAACAUGUUGGCUAUCAAAGCGUGAAAAUUUUUCCAAAAAAAUACAAAGGCCGGGGUUUUCAAACUGAGAGGGAACGGAAUUAUGUAUA
rnacentral:misc_RNA from 1 species